GGCGGCGUGCUUAACACAUGCAAGUCGAACGAAGCACUUUAACCUGAUUCUUCGGAUGAAGGUUUUGUGACUGAGUGGCGGACGGGUGAGUAACGCGUGGGUAACCUGCCUCAUACAGGGGGAUAACAGUUAGAAAUGACUGCUAAUACCGCAUAAGACCACGGAGCCGCAUGGCUCAGUGGGAAAAACUCCGGUGGUAUGAGAUGGACCCGCGUCUGAUUAGGUAGUUGGUGGGGUAACGGCCUACCAAGCCAACGAUCAGUAGCCGACCUGAGAGGGUGACCGGCCACAUUGGGACUGAGACACGGCCCAAACUCCUACGGGAGGCAGCAGUGGGGAAUAUUGCACAAUGGGGGAAACCCUGAUGCAGCGACGCCGCGUGAGCGAAGAAGUAUUUCGGUAUGUAAAGCUCUAUCAGCAGGGAAGAAAAUGACGGUACCUGACUAAGAAGCACCGGCUAAAUACGUGCCAGCAGCCGCGGUAAUACGUAUGGUGCAAGCGUUAUCCGGAUUUACUGGGUGUAAAGGGAGCGUAGACGGCUGUGUAAGUCUGAAGUGAAAGCCCGGGGCUCAACCCCGGGACUGCUUUGGAAACUAUGCAGCUAGAGUGUCGGAGAGGUAAGUGGAAUUCCCAGUGUAGCGGUGAAAUGCGUAGAUAUUGGGAGGAACACCAGUGGCGAAGGCGGCUUACUGGACGAUGACUGACGUUGAGGCUCGAA
rnacentral:rRNA from 1 species